GGGCACGUAGUCUAGCCUGGUGGCAUAAGAGAUAUCUCUUGUGAGUUGGAGGUCUCAGGUUCGAAUCCUGACGUGCCCGCCA
rnacentral:tRNA from 1 species